rnacentral:lncRNA from 1 species
AGUUAUUGGUUUAGGUGUCCAUUUUUUAUUUAAUCUUUUAUCCCAUGUAGUUUUUUCUCUAUCAUAUUGUUCAUAGUUUUCAUUAUAAUAUUUUGGAUUUAAAUUUUUUGGGUUUUUUACUCCUGAUGUGUUGGGUCUUUCAUCCAUGUUUACGUCUCCUGUAUUUACUUCUAAAUUCUUUGUAUUAUCUAUGUUUGCUAAAAGUUCCGUAUAUGUUUCGCUUGUUUCCGAAUGUUGUUCUAGAUCAUCGUCGUUUAUUUCAUCAAUUCUUAUUUCGGGUAGAUUAUCGGGUAGAUUAUCUUGGCUAUUCUCUCCUUUUUCUUCUAUUUCGUCUUCUAAUUGUAAUUUUUCUUUAAAUUUAAUUAUCUCAUUUGCUAAUUUCGUUUUUUGUUCUCUUUCUUUUUGUUUAAUUUCAUACAUUUCUUUUAAUAUUGCUAGCUCUUUUUCUAGCUCUAUUAUUUUAGUAUUUUUUACUUCUUCUAAUUGUUGUACUUCCUUUUUUACUUGUUGUUUUAUUUUUUCAAUUUCCGUUUUUCUAUCUAUUUCUUCAUUUUCUUUUGUUAUCCUUAUCAUAGCAGUUAAACUGUCUUCUAGUUUUACCGUUUCUUUUUCUAACAUUAAACUUAGAUUAUCACCUAUUUUCUUAUAUCUUCUUCCUAGAUUAGAAAAUAUUAUCUUUAUUUUUAAUCCGUCAUAGUUUUCAUAUGUUUUUUCAUCUAUUGCGUAUUCUUCUUUAUUCAGUUAUAAGUUGUGUUGUAGUUUAUGUUCUAAGCUUUCUAUUUGUAUUUAUAGGUAUAAAAUAGUUUUUCUCUGUGCUACUAUAGAUUUUUUACAAAUUCCUGCAAAUAUAUUACUGUUAAGUCUAUUUUGCCUGUGUCUCAAUUCUUGUCUUUUUGCUAUAAUUAUUUCGGUAAGUUUUUGUCUAUACUCGUUAUUCAUUGUAUCUUUAAAUAUUGAAUAUAUUUAUAUUCUUAUUUUAGAUAUAUUAUCUAUUAAUUGAUCUAAUUUCUCGUUAUCAGUUUUUGUGAUAUUGAGUUGUUUAUAUUCCGGAUAUAAUUUUUUUAAUUUUCUUCUUAUUUUUCUUAACUUUCUACUAGUAUGUCUCUUACUAUGUUUCUUAUUAUCCAUGGCUCUGAUACCAUUUUUUGGGGUUGCGGAAUUGGAAGGUGAGGGAUUCAUAUUUUUGGUAGGGUGGUAGGUGAUAGUGUGGUAGAUGAGGAAUUUAUUUUAAAGAUUUUAUUAUUAUAUUCUUUUUUCAUGGUAAAAUGCACUAAUACUUAUUGUAAUAUUCUAUUGAUAGUUGUUUUAAUAUGAAUAUUUCUUUGAUAUUAUUUAUGACGUAUUCUAGAUAUAACAUAUCUUGGGUUCUUUGGUACAUAUAUAAAUUUUCCUCCAUUAAUUGUUCUAAUAGUUUUAUAUCUUCCGUAGAUUCUAUUCAAUAUUGUAAAUAUUAGUAGUUCAUUUUAAUCUGAAUUUAUUUCUAAAUCAUACCAUUCUAUUCUUUCGAAGUUUAAAUCAUGUAGGUCCAUUUAAUACCAUUGUUGAUUUAAUAUAUCUUCUAAUUCGUUAUCAUUAAAUAUUUUUUCCCAUAUUAUUCUUCUUAAUUCAAUUAUUUCUAUACCUUUAAGUAUAUAUAAGAUUAAAGUUUCAUAGUUUUUUAUCAUUUCAUCAUGCAUGUAUGUAGUCAUGUUCAUUGUUAUGCAGGGUUUUAUUUUCAAUUAUUCCUUCCUAUCAUAUUCAUAACUGAUUAAAUUCAUAUUAGAUUAUUAUGAACUAGAUUAUCUGUUUAUCAUGUUCUCCUGUCACUACUAGCAUCAUACUUUNNNNNNNNNNNNNNNNNNNNNNNNNNNNNNNNNNNNNNNNNNNNNNNNNNNNNNNNNNNNNNNNNNNNNNNNNNNNNNNNNNNNNNNNNNNNNNNNNNNNNNNNNNNNNNNNNNNNNNNNNACAUUAGGAUGACAUAGUAUAGAAGUUUUCUCCCUGUUUCCAGUGUGCUAAUAAACUAGAAAUCAUGAUUCAAAUAAUUCUAAUACAUAAUAACUAACAUAAAUUUAUUCAAUCAUAUAUAUGAUAUUCAGGAAUAUAUGAAAUUAGUUCUGCAUAUUUAUUGAACAAUAUACCUUUGCCUCUUGCUUAUUCAUUCUAUCUGAAAUAUCUGGUUUGAUUUCAGAUUGUUGCUCCAUUAUCUUUUAAAAUAUUAGUUUUUAGUGGAGAGAGUUUUCGAAAGGGAUUUUUAUAUAUUAGGCAUUGCCUGCCUUAUAAUGUUUACAACUGAGUCUAUAUAUAGACAUACAAUUUUUAUUGCAAGUCUACAUCUGGAAUUAUGUUAUCUUCUCCGUUGCACUUUGAACAUAUAUGAUCAGGGUAUUUAUGUCCAAUUAACUUGCAAUAUCUCGUUAAUAACUCUGUUGAAAUAAAUCCUGCCUUUAGUGCUCUUGUCGUAGGUCGUUCUUCUGGUUUUAAUAAUGAUAAAAUCCAUCGCUGGACUUCGUCCAUAUCCGCUCUUCGUAGUUCUCUUGAAUUUGAAUAUAUUAUUAAUUGAUCUCUUGAGUAAUAACUCCAUAUAGCAUUUCUUUUUAAAUAAUUGUUUGUUAACUCUUAUAUAAUAGUUGAUAUACCAAUUAAUCUUUUGUUGGCAUAAAAACUUGGUAUCUCUAUUUUACGUAUUUCUUCCUGUUGUCCAAUAUCUUUGGGUAAAAUCAUAUCUCUGGUCAGUCCUAUUUUGAUUACCUGAAUUGGAUGUUUUAUUUCUUCGUAUAAUAUUUCCGCUGGUGCUGUAUAAAACUUUAUAUAAAAUAAAUUUCCUUUUGUAACUCUUUUGUAUGUAAUGAAUGCUUUAUGUAGUUUUGGUAUUCCACUAACUUUGUCUCCGUCGUAUGUGUAUAUGGUAUUUAACAGUCCAUAGUUGUAACAUGUCCUUACUAAAUCGGCGUUAGUUUUUGAUAGUGCAAUUAACUUGUUAUAUCCUUGUAACUUUUGUGUCAAAUAAUCCUGGUUUGGUUCUUUUGUAGUUGCUCUGGAGUUGACGUUUAAAUAAGUUUGGAUUUUGUGUAUAUUUUUUAUAUAGGUUCUUGCGAUGUGGUUAUAUGUCUUUUUCUCAUUUUGGUUCUGCAAACUAUCUGCGUAUGUAGAGGUUUGUGGUUCUAUGGAUAUAUUUCUUGGUGUUCUUUUGAUAAAUGGUUUUUCGAAUAGCUGGUUUAAGUUCGCAUUUUUAUGUUGUUUUUCACUAACUUGUUUGCUCGUACCUGCAGCUGUAUUUAAACAAACAUUAUGGGUUUUAAGGUGUUUCCCAACGUCACCUAUUAGAUCAGGAUUUUUAAAGUCUUCCGAUCGAGUUAGCUCCGCAUUUUUACAGUCAUGCUGCUGACUUCUUAUUUGUUGUAGCUCUUUGUCAAUAUUUUCUACUUUUGUGCAAAGUAGGUUCAUAGCUUUGAGUAGUUUCUUCUAUAGUAUUUUGUUUUUCAGUUUGUGUAGCUUUGUCUUGAUAAGUAAUCUGCAAUAACAUUCUUGUCAGUUUUUAUCACUUCAAUAGUAAAUGUAAAAUUUAAUACCAAUCUUCUCAUUUCUUUCGUAGUUACCGAAUCUUGUAUUUUUCUUGUUAGCCACCAUUUUACUUGUGUAUUAUCAGUCCUUAUAAUAAAUUUGUUAUAUACAAUAUAUGGUUCAAAUGAUAAUAAACACUUAUAUACUGAAUAUAAUUCUUUUCUAUUUAUUUCCCAUUUUAUUUCUGUAUUAUUAAAUGUUCCUGAAUAAUACCUGCAAUGAUGUUCUAUCGUAUUGCCAUCAUACUUGUAUUUUAAUAUUCUUCCAUAACUUUUUUCACUCGCAUCUGAUUCUAUUAUAUAAGUAAAUUUUUUGUUCUCAUCUGGAAAGUAUAGUUUAGGUAAGUUUUUACAUAAUAAUUUUACCUUUUGUAUUUGUAUUUGGUCUUUUUUAUCAAACUGAUAUUCUAUACCUUUCUUUAAUUUUUGUUGUAAUAGUUUUAAAUUAUCUCCUAAUUUUGGUAUGUAUUCUCUUACUUGGUUUACUAGUGACAUAAUAGUUUUACUUCUUUUAUUUGCGUUUGGUCUUUUUUAUCAAACUGGUAUUCUAUGCCUUUCUUUAAUUUUUGUUGUAAUAGUUUUAAAUUAUCUCCUAAUUUUGGUAUGUAUUCUCUUACUUGGUUUACUAGUCCUAAAAUGAUUGUAAUUUCUUUUUGUAUGUAAUUGUUCAUUUGAGUUAAUUAUUUUUGUACUAUGUGUGUUUGCAUUUUUAUUCCAUUUUUAUCUAUUUGUAUUCCUAAAAAUUAUAUUUGCUUUUUCAUUAUUUCUGCUUUCUUUUUACUUAGACUUAUGCCUGAAUAUUCUAUAUUAUGUAUAAAUUUUUCUAAUAACCUUAUAUGUUCAUCUUGUGUUUUGGAAUAUAGUAAUAUAUCAUCAAUAUAUACUACACAAUUUUCUAGUUGUUUAAAAUAGUUGUCCAUAAAGGGUUUAUAUCUACCUGGUGCAAUUUUAUAUCCAAAUGGUAAUACAUUCCAUUCAUAAAAUCCUUGUGGUAUUGUAAAUGCUGUAAAAUUUUUAGAUUCUUCUUCUAAUUUUAAGUGGUAAAAUCCUAAUUUGCAGUCAAAUUUACUAAAGUAAUUAUAUCUUUGUAUUUGUCUUAUCUUUAAUAUUUUAUUUGGUAUUGGGUAAUUAUAUGAUUUAGUUUUUGCAUUUAAACUUCUAUAACCAAUAUUAUUAUCAAUUAGCUCAAUUUUUAUUUUUUGUUUUUAUGUUUUUUUCCCCAAUCCUUGUAAAGGAUCUUCACUAUAUAAUAAUUCUAACUUAUCUUGGAUUUAUUUUUACUUUAUCUAUAGAGAAUAUAAUUAACUCUUAUCUUAGGGUCUUCUUCUUUUAUAUUUUCUAAUUUUGUGUAAUUUUUUCACUUCCUUUUAUCCAUUCUAUUGUUUUUCGUUUUUUGUAAUUUACUCUUUUUGCUCCUAUUUUUUGUUUACACGGUGUUGUGAACCCCCAGUAUGUUUUUAUUAUUAUAUGUGGGUAUAAUUUUUUUUAAAAUGGCAAUCCUAAUAGCAUAUCUUUUGUAGUCAAUUCAAAGUUAUAUAUUUCCUCUAUAGUUAAUAUCUUAUCCCAUAUUUGUAUUUUUAUAUUUUGCCUUAUAUGUGAUCAUGCUUCCUUCAUUAUUAAAUCCUGUUACUACUAUCGGUGUUUUUAAUUUUUUCUAUUUAUCUAUUGGUAAACAAUUGUAUUUACAUAUAUUAGUUUCUGCUCCCGUAUCUAUCAUCGGUGUAUAAUAUCUGUUGUAAUAUCCCUCUAUUAUUAUCUUUGCAAGUAUAUAUAUUUUCAUAUUUUUAUCCUACUAAAGUUCUUUUUAUUAUUACUCUUUUAUUUUCAUAAUUUAUUAUUAGUUGUUUGUCUUCUAGAUUAUAUGAUUUACAUUUACAAUUGAAGUAAUAAAAACUGAUAAGAAUGUUAUUGCAGAUUACUUAUCAAGACAAAGCUACUUUUCAUUUCCCUGAUAUAUUUUAAAUUUUAUCACUAUUGGUACUCCUCCUAUGAUUAUUUCCUUUUCUGUAGUUUCCUCGAUAUACAUUAACGCUUUUGGUAGUUCGGGGCAUGAUUAUUUGUAUAUCUAUUUCUUAUAAUAGUAUUCUCUAAAUGUGCAUGUAUAUUCAUCUAUAUAACAAAUAUUACAUAUUGCUAAUUUUGUCAUUAGAUUCCGGUUUAUGACCUUUUUCUUUAUUUUUUUCUUCUACUUCUGUUGUCAUACUACUAAAUUCAUUUCUUAUAGCUACUUCGUAUUUAUAUAAUAUUUCCAUAGUUGUAGUAGCUAAUUCGCCAUUAGAUUUUUAUUACUUCUUAGAGUUUUUAAACUUUCAUCAGAUAAAUUUUGUAGCCCUAAUUUUACUGUUCCUAGAAGUGUUCUUUCCAUAUACCUUGGUGUUUCUGUCAUUACUAUUUUGCUAUCUAUUAAUUGUUUUGAUAUAUAUCCUAUCCAUAAUUGGAUUGUUUUAUUUAUAUCUGCUACACAGUCUAAAUCUAAAAAAUAAUGUUGUCCAGUUAUUGGUUUAGGUGUCCAUUUUUUAUUUAAUCUUUUAUCCCAUGUAGUUUUUUCUCUAUCAUAUUGUUCAUAGUUUUCAUUAUAAUAUUUUGGGUUUAAAUUUGUUGGGUUUUUUACUCCUGAUGUGCUAGGUUUUUCAUCCAUGUCUACGUCUCCUGUAUUUACUUCUAAAUUCUUUGUAUUAUCUAUGUUUGCUAAAAGUUCCGUAUAUGUUUCGCUUGUUUCCGAAUGUUGUUCUAGAUCAUCGUCGUUUAUUUCAUCAAUUCUUAUUUCAGGUAGAUUAUCUUGGCUAUUUUCUUCUUUUUCUUCUAAUUCAUCUUCUAAUUGCAAUUUUUCUUUAAAUUUAAUUAUAUCGUUUGCUAAUUUUGUUUUUGU